ACGAGGUUUGAAACAUGUCACGUUCUUUCCGUCUAUCAGGUCUACUACUAAACGCAACUUAUCUGCGCGGUAGACUUGUGGGCGAAAUCAAACACUGAUUCGAACCUGCUAAAAGUUAAAAACCCGCGCCUGUCGCGGGUUUUUUU
rfam:Pantoea ananatis LMG 20103, complete genome.